AGAGUUUGAUCCUGGCUCAGAAUGAACGCUGGCGGCAUGGAUUAGGCAUGCAAGUCGAACGUGAAGCUUUCUUCGGAAAGUGGAAAGUGGCGAAAGGGUGAGUAACACGUGAGUAACCUGCCCCCGAGAUCGGGAUAGCCCGUGGAAACGCGGAUUAAUACCGAAUGUGGAUUGCGCCUGCAUAGGUGCUCUUCCAAAGGUCCGCCGCUCGGGGAUGGGCUCGCGGCCCAUUAGCUUGUUGGUGAGGUAACGGCCCACCAAGGCUAUGACGGGUAGCUGGUCUGAGAGGAUGGUCAGCCACACUGGGACUGAGACACUGCCCAGACUCCUACGGGAGGCUGCAGUCGAGAAUCAUCCGCAAUGGGCGCAAGCCUGACGGUGCGAUGCCGCGUGAGGGAUGACGGCCUUAGGGUUGUAAACCUCUGUCAGAGGGGACGAAUCAUUGACGGUACCCUCAGAGGAAGCCACGGCUAACUACGUGCCAGCAGCCGCGGUAAUACGUAGGUGGCGAGCGUUAUUCGGAUUUACUGGGCGUAAAGGGUCCGCAGGGGGUUUGCCAAGUCUGGUGUGAAAGCCCGCGGCUCAACCGCGGAACUGCACUGGAAACUGGUGAACUUGAGUCUGCGAGGGGUGAGCGGAAUUCCUGGUGUAGCGGUGGAAUGCGUAGAUAUCAGGAAGAACACCGAUGGCGAAGGCGGCUCACUGGCGCAGUACUGACCCUCAUGGACGAAAGCGUGGGUAGCGAACAGGAUUAGAUACCCUGGUAGUCCACGCCGUAAACGUUGUGCACUAGAUGUAGGGGGGCUGAUCCCUUCUGUGUCCAAGCUAACGCGAUAAGUGCACCGCCUGGGGACUACGGCCGCAAGGCUAAAACUCAAAGGAAUUGACGGGGGCCCGCACAAGCGGUGGAGCAUGUGGCUUAAUUCGAGGCAACGCGAAGAACCUUACCUGGGUUUGACAUGUACCGGACCGGUGUGGAAACACACCUUCCCUUCGGGGCCUGUACACAGAUGCUGCAUGGCUGUCGUCAGCUCGUGCCGUGAGGUGUUCGGUUAAGUCCGGCAACGAGCGCAACCCGCGUCGUCAGUUACCAUCACGUAAUGGUGGGGACUCUGGCGAGACUGCCCGUGUCAAGCGGGAGGAAGGCGCGGAUGACGUCAAGUCCGUAUGGCUCUUACGUCCAGGGCUGCACACGUGCUACAAUGGGCGGUACAAUGGGAAGCGAAACCGCGAGGUGGAGCAAAUCCUCAAAGCCGUCCCCAGUUCGGAUUGGAGUCUGCAACUCGACUCCAUGAAGUCGGAAUCGCUAGUAAAGGGGCAUCAGCAACGGCCCCUUGAAUACGUUCCCGGGCCUUGUACACACCGCCCGUCACAUCAUGGAAGCCGGCUGCACCCGAAGUCGCUGACCGAACCCUGCGUUUCGACAAAGGGACGGAGGUGCCGAAGGUGUGUCCGGUAACUGGGAUGAAGUCGUAACAAGGUA
rnacentral:rRNA from 1 species